rnacentral:rRNA from 1 species
GACGGAGGAUGCAAGCGUUAUCCGGAAUGAUUGGGCGUAAAGCGUCCGCAGGUGGCAAUUCAAGUCUGCUGUUAAAGCGCAGGGCUUAACUCUGUAAAGGCAGUGGAAACUGAAUAGCGUAGAGUGUUGGUGAGGGGCAGAGGGAAAUUCCCAGUGUAGCGGUGAAAUGACGUAGAGAUUGGGAAGAACAUCGGUGGCGAAGGCGCUCUGCUGGACCAUAACUGACACUCAGCAGGACGAAAGCUAGGGGAGCGAAU